rnacentral:rRNA from 1 species
AGUCGAGCGAAGCACCUUACUUGGAUUUCUUCGGAAUGACGAGUGUUGUGACUGAGCGGCGGACGGGUGAGUAACGCGUGGGUAACCUGCCUCAUACAGGGGGAUAACAGUUAGAAAUGACUGCUAAUACCGCAUAAGACCACAGCACCGCAUGGUGCAGAGGUAAAAACUCCGGUGGUAUGAGAUGGACCCGCGUCUGAUUAGCUUGUUGGUGGGGUAACGGCCUACCAAGGCGACGAUCAGUAGCCGGCCUGAGAGGGCGACCGGCCACAUUGGGACUGAGACACGGCCCAAACUCCUACGGGAGGCAGCAGUGGGGAAUAUUGCACAAUGGGGGAAACCCUGAUGCAGCGACGCCGCGUGAAGGAAGAAGUAUUUCGGUAUGUAAACUUCUAUCAGCAGGGAAGAAAAUGACGGUACCUGACUAAGAAGCCCCGGCUAACUACGUGCCAGCAGCCGCGGUAAUACGUAGGGGGCAAGCGUUAUCCGGAUUUACUGGGUGUAAAGGGAGCGUAGACGGAGAGGCAAGUCUGAUGUGAAAACCCGGGGCUCAACCCCGGGACUGCAUUGGAAACUGUUUUUCUAGAGUGUCGGAGAGGUAAGCGGAAUUCCUAGUGUAGCGGUGAAAUGCGUAGAUAUUAGGAGGAACACCAGUGGCGAAGGCGGCUUACUGGACGAUGACUGA